AUGCAGUCACGCAGGCACAACAGACAAGACACAUCUCUCGGUCUCUCCCUCUCCCUCGUCCCUCCUGGCUCCUGCCGUCCUCCGUCCUGCGACUCCAAUCAGCGCCGGCCAGGCCUGGCGCCGGCUCUGGCAGUGCAGACGGCCGAACCUGCAAUCAUGAAGAGGAAGACAAUGCUUUGUUUUUUUGAGAAGGUUGGAUCAAGCUCCUGCCCUGGCUCCCAACCUGAACCUACUGCUACCGGUGUUGAUGAUUCCAACACAGCCGAACAAGGACAAAGUAGUGGACAGAGUAACACUCACACUCUUGAUCAGAAUAUUUCAGCAUCUGUAGAAGGUCCACAGCAAGAGACAGUUGUAACAAUAGAAACAGAUUAUAUUAGAGACCCCAGCAAACGUCUUCAAAUUUGGCAACUCCCUCCUGCCAAGCAAGAUGAAGCUCGGCGUUUUUAUAUAUCUAAGGGCGCAUAUCAACCGAUCCUACAACCAGAGGAAUACCCAUUUGCUGGAACGGACAAGGUAAUGGUUAAGCAAUGUGAGAAAAGAGUGGCAGAUGCGAGACUAAGACUCAAGACUACAAUUGAUGCCAUCAGGUGGUUAGCAUUUCAAGCGUGUCCCUUUAGAGGCCAUGAUGAAUCUCCGGGAUCUAAAAACCAAGCCAUUAGCUGGGCUAGGUGA
rnacentral:rRNA from 1 species